rnacentral:rRNA from 1 species
GCUCUCUUCGGAGAGUGCAUAGAGUGGCGCACGGGUGAGUAACACGUAAAUAAUCUACCCUCGAGUGGGGAAUAACGUCCGGAAACGGGCGCUAAUACCGCAUAAUGCAGCGGCACCGCAAGGUGACAGUUGUUAAAGAUUUAUUGCUUGAGGAGGAGUUUGCGGCAGAUUAGCUAGUUGGUAAGGUAAUGGCUUACCAAGGCUACGAUCUGUAUCCGGUCUAAGAGGACGGUCGGACACACUGACACUGAAUAACGGGUCAGACUCCUACGGGAGGCAGCAGUCGGGAAUUUUGGGCAAUGGGGGAAACCCUGACCCGGCAACGCCGCGUGAAGGAUGAAGUUUUUCGGAAUGUAAACUUCGAAAGAAUAGGAAGAAUUAAUGACGGUACUAUUUAUAAGGUCCGGCUAACUACGUGCCAGCAGCCGCGGUAAUACGUAGGGACCAAGCGUUGUUCGGAUUUACUGGGCGUAAAGGGCGCGUAGGCGGCGUGGUAAGUCAGUUGUGAAAUCUCCGAGCUUAACUCGGAACGGCCAACUGAUACUGCUGUGCUAGAGUGCAGAAGGGGCAAUCAGAAUUCUUGGUGUAGCGGUGAGAUGCGUAGAUAUCAAGAGGAAUACCUGAGGUGAAGACGGGUUGCUAGGCUGACACUGACGCUGAGGCGCGAAAGCCAGGGGAGCAAACGGGAUUAGAUACCCCGGUAGUCCUGGCCCUAAACGAUGAAUACUUGGUGUCUGGAGUUUUUUCGCUCCGGGUGCCGUCGCUAACGUUUUAAGUAUUCCGCCUGGGGAGUACGGUCGCAAGACUG